rnacentral:rRNA from 1 species
AACGAACGCUGGCGGCAUGCCUAACACAUGCAAGUCGAACGAAGGCUUCGGCCUUAGUGGCGCACGGGUGAGUAACUCGUGGGAAACUGCCGAUUGGUGGGGAAUAACGACGGGAAACUGGCGCUAAUACCGCAUAAGCCCUUCGGAGGAAAGAUUUAUCGGCGAGAGAUGUGCCCGCUUCCGAUUAGCUAGUUGGUGGGGUAAUGGCUCACCAAGGCGACGAUCGGUAGCUGGUCUGAGAGGAUGAUAAGCCACACUGGGACUGAGACACGGCCCAGACUCCUACGGGAGGCAGCAGUGGGGAAUAUUGGACAAUGGGCGAAAGCCUGAUCCAGCAAUGCCGCGUGAGUGAUGAAGGCCUUAGGGUUGUAAAGCUCUUUCGGGUGGGACGAUGAUGACGGUACCACCAGAAGAAGCCCCGGCUAACCUCGUGCCAGCAGCCGCCGUAA